UCUGCCCUCGACCCGUGUUUUCCAAGCUCCUCGCAUUCGCUCGCGGACCCAGUACCCAUAGCACAGGCCUCAGACCCGGGACAUUCCACCCCUAAGCCGUCACCUCCGGAGAUCCGAAGACACCGCGCCCUGGGCCCUGAGAUCCAGGAACCCUCAGGCCAAAGAUUGCCAAACCAUGCCUGGCAAUGUUGGGCUUCUCACUUCAGGGCCUCAGAAGCUGGGAAUGCCAAACUUGAGAUCUUUAGAGCUGGACCUGUCCCACCCAGGCUUCCCGGGCCCAAGGAUUAUAGGACCCAGAAAAGCGGCCUUUGGGAUGAGCCUCUCACAUGUUUAAAAGCAGCAGUCUAUUAAAAGGCAACCAGAUAUCCUUGAAGGAUGAUUCAACUUUUUAGUUCCAUUUUUUAAGUUGAUUUUGCUCCAACCCCAAACGUCUCUGAAGAUGUUGAGAAUUCUUGUGUCUGCUGUGUUUCUAAUCCAAAUGAAGGCAAGCCAAGAACAAAGAAAGUGAAACAUUUGGGACCCUGGAAAUACUGAAGUGCAGCCCAAGAGUCAUUUCACAGCACUCCUGUUCUGCUCAGAUAGAGCCGGUUAAUAAAUUAUGCCAACACAUGAGACAUUCAGAGUGCCACAGCCACUCAGAGUGACAGUCAACCCUUGCUAGAGUAUGUUUUAAUAUAAAGACUUAGUAGAUAUAAUAGCAAUUUUCUUCGGGAGUAAAUUGGUCUGUGAAUCAUACUCUAAGAACAUAAAAGAAAAAUGACUAAUAAUUUAGCACGAAAU